rnacentral:rRNA from 1 species
UACGUAGGGGGCAAGCGUUGUCCGGAAUCAUUGGGCGUAAAGCGAGCGUAGGCGGCCCGAUAAGUCUGCUGUAAAAGUCAACGGCUCAACCGUUGAAAGCCGGUGGAUACUGUCGGGCUAGAGUUCGGAAGAGGCAAGUGGAAUUCCUGGUGUAGCGGUGGAAUGCGCAGAUAUCAGGAGGAACACCUAUAGCGAAGGCAGCUUGCUGGGGACGAUACUGACGCUAAGGCUCGAAAAGCGUGGGGGAGCGAACAGG